UACGACUACAUAUCAGGCAUAUCAAUAAGCGGAGGAAAAGAAACUAACAAGGAUUCCCUUAGUAACGGCGAGUGAAGCGGGAAGAGCUCAAAUUUGAAAUCUUCAAGGUUCUACCUUGACGAAUUGUAGUUUAUAGAAGUGUUUUCUGUUGGUGUUUUGGUAAAAGUUCUUUGGAAUAGGACAUCAUAGAGGGUGAGAAUCCCGUAUUUGACCAUUACUUCCAGCGUUGUGAUACACUUUCAAAGAGUCGGAUUGUUUGGGAAUGCAGUCCAAAAUGGGUGGUAAAUUUCAUCUAAAGCUAAAUAUUGGCGAGAGACCGAUAGCGAACAAGUACCGUGAGGGAAAGAUGAAAAGAACUUUGAAAAGAGAGUUAAACAGUACGUGAAAUUGUCAAAAGGGAAGCGUUUAACACCAGUGUUGUUUUCUCGAAAAUCAAUUAAAAAUGGCUUGAUUUUGUGUUGUAUUGACCUUAAAAGCUUUCUGCACUUUUUUCAUGUCUUUUUUAAUGCACUUUUCGUUUAACAAGUCAACAUCAAUUUCUUUUGUUGUAAAAGGGUCAUUGGAAGGUGGCUUUCACUUCGGUGAAAGUGUUUAUAGCCUUUGGCUUCUACAAUCGGAGAGAUUGAGGUCUGCAGCGUAGAUCCUUCGGGGUUAGAUACGUAGAUGCUAAGUUAUAGUUUUUUAUAGACAACUUGUUGACUAUGAUUAAUCAUGUAGCUUACUCGUUUACGCUAUUUUACCUACGCUUAGGAUGUUGAAUCUGUGCGAGACUAC
rnacentral:rRNA from 1 species